GGCCCGUGCAGCACGAAAACCACUUCCACCACGGCGUACCAGCAAGCACGCUGCAACUCUCCCGGCGCGCGGCCGGCGAGGGCCAGCAUCCGCGGCGAAGGGGAGCGAGAAGGAGGCCGCGCGCUUCUUCUCGUUCCUCUCUCACCGGCGGCGGCCGUCCCAUUCGAGGCGGCUCGAUCUGGUUCGGUUCGGUUCGGUGGAGACCACCCCUCGUCCAUCCCGCGCUGCCGCUCACUAGCCACCAACCAGGCAGUGGCCGUCGCCGUCGCCCAUUGCCAUUACCGGCUAGCCUGUGACAGCCUCUGCAUAUACUCUGCUGAGUACUAGCAACUCUUUCCAAGAUAGUGAUUAAGUGAAUAAUUAUUUUGUUUUCGAAUAAUCUUACAUCCAUCACGUCCAGCUUGCACCAUACCAUUUCCAACAUUAUUUAUGUCAGUAGUCAAACUUUUAUAGGAUAUGUAAGGUUUGUUUCAUUAUUUUGUAAAGGACCUUAGGAAGGCAUUGGUGUAUUUGCAAGUUAAGUUGAAUGAAGCAAUGAUAAUUUAUUUGGAGGACCAAUCCAGGUGAGCAUGAUUGAAAGGGUCAGCUAUAUCGAAGUGACAUAUGUGCAACAUAAGAUAAGGAUACCAAACUCAACCUAAUUAUUUUCUUACUGUCCUGUGCUGCAAGGUGUCAACUAGACUAGAUAUAUUAUGCUUAUUUGCACUCUCUUUUCAUUGCAAAUUAUAUAUUAUCAUGACCACAAAUUCGGUUAUACCCGUGCAUGUAUAAGCUAGUUGAAUUUGCCUAAGAACAAUUGAAACUAUAUGAUUACGAUUUUUUGUAUCCAUUGAUUUCGUGUUUAUAUACAGCUUAAAUACGGAACCUGCUAUCAUUGAGAUGUAAUACCACUUAUGUCAUUAAGCAGUAUCCUGGGUACAUACUGAGUCCAUUCACUGUCCUCUCUACACUAAAUAGAGUAUAAUGUUGCUGAAUUAUCCUUCUCUCGAGCUUCUCAGUGUCAGACAUCAAGUAUAAAAAUUCUGUAUGCACUAGACUGACAGAUGUUCGUAAUGAUCUCAUGAGGAUUUAUGCUUAUGAUGUGAUGAUCUGUUUGGAAUCUGGACUGCAUCCUUUCUAUUUCAUCUUCUAUCAUGAAGUCUAUACUCCAAUGACUUCUGUCCAAAUGUUUAUUUCAGGUGAAAGAAUCUUACACUGACAUCUGCUAUUUGGGUAGCUGCUUGGCUCGUAUGAGCACGGAUGCAUAUCAACCCACGAGCUAUAUGAGGCCCAGCGUGGUGAGGAUCUUCCUAUUUUGAGCUAUUCGGUGAUGAUCUAAAUGUUUCCUUUAAUAGCCAAUAGGUGAGAUCGAAGAUUUCUCAUCUAACAUCUAGUUUAUGUUAUCUCCAUGAAAGUUCUGGCAAUCGGAAGUAUGGUCUCUGAAAAUGACCCCUCAAAGGCCAACCCACUCGUAUGGCUGGAAAGAUGAAAGAAUUUUUAUGUUGAUAUGUUCCUGUCAGUCAACAGUAAGGUUGCCAUAUUUAUAUGGCAUCAGGAUUCUUUAUCUCGGUAUUUACUGUAGUGUGCAAUGCCUUUGUGGACUCCAAAGCCACUCCUGUAGUUAUCUAAUCAAUCAACUGGCCCGCUAGCCCAAAUACUUUUGUUAUAUUUACAGUAUGAUAUAAAUAUAAUGGUACACCUCAGAUUGGACUGACAACGAGAUGUGGUGUAGAUGGACAUCAAAGUGAAAUGAUAAAACAUGUCCCUUUCAAAAGAACUUAGACUCCACCAGUAUGGAAUAUUUAUCUUUAACGUCAGCUGUGGACAUACUGAGCUCCAGUCCUGCACGCAGUACGUGGUACGGGAUGCUCAUUAAAGGUCUCCCCAUCUUACAAUUGUGAUGCAAUUUCAGCAUCUAUAUAUGAUUUUGCUUGGAACUUCUUUAUCAUGUAGUUCGGCUCCUGUUCAUAACAAGGCUAGUUAGUGCAUGCAAUAAUUCACACAAGCUUGCGAUCUGAUUCCCUCACGAAUUGCUUUACUAACAGUGGAGAUAUUGGUGUGCCAUACACAAUGCUUAUAAUAAAGCACUGUUCAAUGCAGAAGUCUAGGGUACAAAGGAGGUGGGUAAUGGGAAGAGGGGUCCCAUAGCAAUGUUAACCAUGAGAGAUGGGUUGGUUAUUGAGGCCAUGUGCAACGGGAGGGCACAAGUGGGGAACAGGGAUUGCACGGGAUAACAUGGGAGCCAUGUCUCUCCAUGUUGCCUAGUGUGUAUUUGUGUAUAGCUUUCAUUCUUGGCUGGACUCCUCUGGCAAGGGAAUAGCCACCACCAAACUCAUAAUUCCCCGCACUUCGGCUUUACAUCUCUCUUACCCUUUUCCUACCUCUAGUAGCAACCAGAUGAAAUAGAAGCUUUACUAUUUGCCCCCUUUUCCAUUUUACUUUUGCGGAUCCCAUUCCAACUGGUGGUCAUCCUUGCGGCGAUGUGCAAGAGAAUUUUUUCUGAGGAUGGUGUGUAAGAGAAUUCGUUCUUUCGGACGCGAUGCUUUGUUGAGUUAGGGUUUUCGACAAAGUGAACAAAAUCGAUUCCUUGAAAGUUACCAAGUAGUUAGAUGGCUCAGCUUUGAGCUCGAAGUAUUUCGGCAUCUCAUCAUCUAUUGUUGCCUACUGAACCUAGAUAAGUUGCAGGCCAGGGCCUUGCAUGCUAUGGUCAUGGAUGGAUGAUUGUGCAUGCCGCCAGAAAGUUUUACUCACGGUGUAUAGUUAUAGACCGAAGGCGCAAGCUGCACCCGGCUUUAUUUUUUGAUUAAUAAAGCCCAUAAUGGGAACCAUGAACAUAGACUUACAGAACUGAAAGAAAAAACAAAGACUGGGGAGCACCAUUAAGAUGAAAUGCAUGUCAGAGAGAACUGCCUCCUAUGCACCAGAGCCUCAGUGCGCUCGCUGAAUCAUGAGACAAGACAACCUGAGCAGGCACACCAGCAAUUUUCACCUCACUUCACUUGUAACUAAGCAAUUAUGGUGAAACAGACUUCCGAUUGGCAGUUUUCUGGUGUGUGGCUUUCCACUGCCCUGUAAUAACAAUAACACUCGAGUAUGAUAGCUUUAGGUGAUUGUACCUUUUGUGGAACAAACUUUGGGGAGAAAUAUUUGCUGUAACCAUGAUGUGCAACAGUACAAGCAAAAUGUUGGCACUUUAACCAAACGAGAAGGAAGCUGGGCCUGUCUUUAUAUGAGUGUGGCCAAUUUUUUCCACCGUGAGGUCUGAGAUGGCGAAGACAAGAACAUUUUGGCGAUUAAAAGCCUAUUUGUCAGUUGGGACUUGGGAUAUUGGUUUGGUCCAGCUCAUAUGUACUUUCAUCUGUUUUUGGUUAUAUUCCAGCCCAGUGCCAGCUCUUCAGUUGCCUCGUUGUCGAGCGUCAACAAUCUUGCGUGAGUCAUAGAAAUCCCAAGGCGGUGUACAUUUGCGUAUGGAAGUCCAAUCUGAUUGCUCAAGAAACCUGUGUUAUUAUGGCGUUCAUGUGUACACACACAGGGGCAACCAAAUUGGCUGGCCCUCUUUCAUUGUGGCCGUUGAAGUAUUGUUGUCAACAGUUGGUCCUAACUUCACUUGUUGGGUAGGCGCUGGCUCAAAAGGUUAAUGGAGUACACCAAUAUAACUUUGUACAGAUGCACACCGCACAAUUGGUUAUGGAGUGUCAACAGUUGGCAAAGAUUAACACGCCAAGCCAAUGACAGCCCCCGUCCUGGACGCUAACAGUCUUGGAUUUUUGUCGCAACAGAAAAUGGUCCUGCUCCCAGCCCAGCCAUAAUCAGGAUAGAGCCAGUUCAUGCUUUCCUCUGAAGAAAGAAGCUUCCUUUUCUCCUCAGACAUGGCCAGGCUAAUCCGCUGUAAAUGACUGGGGUACUACAUGCAGUGCAGGCGUUAGGAGCGGAGCGGUUGGUUGAUCCGCAGAUUGGUUUGGCAUUUGUCGAAGACAGGGAAGGGAAUCCAAAUCCAGGCUCUGAUCUGCUGGGAUCGAUGCUGUUUCUUCAGGGGCAAGUGAAGCCCGUCCGUCAUGAUUUUACCAGCUUCAGAGUCACGCCUUGGCAUGUGAUCUGAUCGGCGGUAUGCAAGAUUUGUGGCUAACUUGCUCAUGAUCUUGUGGUCCAGAUGCACAAGCAAACUGGAUUUGUGGUUUAUCUUGCAAGGAACGAUGGAUCUAUUGAAUUAGUUGCUUCCAAGUUUGAAAACGACAAAGGUGAAAAAAAAAGAUGGUGAUGUUUAGACCGUCUCCAGCACAGCGGGACCAUGAGAGAUUAUUCUUCGCUGGACCAUAAUCUCGUAAUGAUACCUUACAUCGCUACGCUAGGGGUCACUUUAAUAUCCAUUUAUACACCUCUCUAUUAACUCAAUCUGCUUUUCCCAAUGUAUUAACUUGGUUAAUUAUGAACUGUGAUUUUGUAAUUCACACGACCUCUCGGUAUGCCCAU